rnacentral:rRNA from 1 species
GACGGAGGGUGCGAGCGUUAUUCGGACUCAUUGGGUGUAAAGAGCGUGUUGGCGGCCGGUUAAGUCAGGUGUGAAAGCCCGGGGCUCAACCUCGGAAGUGCACUUGAAACUGGUCGGCUUGAGUUCGGGAGAGGGAAGGGGAAUUCCUGGUGUAGAGGUGAAAUUCGUAGAUAUCAGGAGGAACACCGGUGGCGAAGGCGGCUUCCUGGACCGAAACUGACGCUGAGACGCGAAAGCGUGGGGAGCAACCAGG